rnacentral:rRNA from 1 species
AUUGAACGCUGGCGGCAUGCUUUACACAUGCAAGUCGAACGGUAACAGGGUGCUUGCACCGCUGACGAGUGGCGAACGGGUGAGUAAUGCGUCGGAACGUGCCGAGUAGUGGGGGAUAACGCAGCGAAAGUUGUGCUAAUACCGCAUACGUACUGAGGUAGAAAGUGGGGGACCUUCGGGCCUCACGCUAUUCGAGCGGCCGACGUCUGAUCAGCUAGUAGGUGAGGUAAAGGCUCACCUAGGCGACGAUCAGUAGCGGGUCUGAGAGGAUGAUCCGCCACACUGGGACUGAGGCAGGGCCCAGACGACUACGGGAGGCAACAGUGGGGAAUUUUGGACAAUGGGCGAAAGCCUGAUCCAGCCAUGCCGCGUGUCUGAAGAAGGCCUUCGGGUUGUAAAGGACUUUUGUCAGGGAGGAAAUCCCUAGUGCUAAUAACACUGGGGGAUGACAGUACCUGAAGAAUAAGCACCGGCUAACUACGUGCCAGCCGCCGCCGUAA